GGUCUCAGCACUGGGUGGAGGGAGGCGGAACAGUCCUGGUAAAGAGGAGGAAAGAGACACACUGCCUGGGGCGGCCCUCUGCGGCUGCCUCCUCCUGCUGUGGUUUCUCUGGCUUAGGCUGCCCCUCUCACCUGGCUUGUCUAUGGGGAGGAGACCUUUGUUCUCUGGCUGCUUUGAAGACUUUCUCCUUAACAGUGGUUUCAAUACUUUGACUGCAGCAAAAAUAAUCCUCAGGAGCCAUGCCUCUAGCAUUUUUGGCCUUCCCUUCUGAAUAACAACAGCCAUGUUUUGGCCUCUGCAGGACUGAGGUCUGCUGAACAGCUGCUUCUGCGUAUCUCUGUCUUGCUCUUGGCCUCUGGGAGCUCCUGGGGAUCCUCAGCAGAGUCCACAGGGCUCUUUAGGGGACCCUCCCCAUGCUGCAGCCUGGAGCCUGUGAGCUGAGCAGUGAGCUGAGGCCACCACUGGGCUCACCUCAUGGGCUUGGAGGGAAAGUCAUUUACCCAGGAAGUGGAUGGUGAGCCCUUUACUCUGAGAAUGUCUACGCCUGGUGACGCUGGGAGGACAAGUGAGCCCUAUGUGAAUCCUGCUCCCUGGAGCCCACACUCUGGCAGAGGAGGUGUCACCAGGGACCUAAAUAGCUAUCAGGAAGCAUGGGGUCCCACCUGCCUCACCUCCCCCACCUCCAGAGAGGCUGUGCGGGCUCCAGAGAUACCAUCUCCCUGCUUGACUCUGGCAGAGGGAGGCUGUGGAGUUGCAAGUCCCCAGGUCAUGGUAUUGUUGGCUUGUAGGAUGUGGUUUGAUUAAAAUCAACAUUGAGGGUAAUGUUUGUACUCACAACAGCAUGUGCUGAAAUACAGUACUUGCACGUGCCAAGUCUGUCCUCAGCACUUUAUACACAUAUGAACACACGGAAUCCUCAUACAACCAGACUGUACAGGAACCCUCAUUGUCAUGAGACAAAGAACAUUCCUUCAGGGGAGGGCUGGGCAGGGGGAUGAGCGACCCUCCGGGCAGCGGCAGUGAUUGGGUCACUGGGUUGUGCUGGCCUUUCCCAGGGGGGUAUUUGGUGCUUGUUCAUGAGGCCUGCACUCACCUAGGGCUGGGUCAUAGGUGGGGGUCCCUGAGAAGUCCUGUAAGGCCACCACUUAUGUCCAGAAUAAUAGACAUGUUUAGAGAAGAAGUGGCUUUCCCUGGACCAUGAGGCUGGCCCGAAACUAGAAGAUAGAUGUCUUGCUUCUUAAGCCAAGGGUCUUUUUAUAUCAAAAGAACAAAGAAAGAAAGAAAGAAAAAAGCCACAAAAGACUCAAAAGAAACAUAUUUCUCACCACAGGAAGACCUUCAGAACAAUUCCAAGUUCCUCAUUUUAAGAUCAACAAGGCAUGUUUUAGGGCGUGUACGCUUGAGAGAGGAAGCUGCAGUGUGAAUGCCAAACCUGCCUCUAAAACAGCCUAAUGCAACUCUUGUCCAGAAGAAAUAAGGCAAGGAAAUCCCCUGGUUAAUGACUCAGCUCAGGAAGAGGCAGGGUCAGGAGAGUCUAUGGAGGAGAAGACCUAGAACAAGACCUGUCUCUUUCGCUCUUUCACACACACACACACACACACACACACACACCCCAUACCCUCACACCCCCAUGGGCCCAAAUUGUGAACUGAGAACCUCACCUCUCUGACCACACCUUCCAUCCCCCUCAAUCAGAGAUACCCACAAUCUGCAGAGCUGCGUCCCAACCUCACUUUUUGUUACUCCCUCCCCCACUGCUUUGACUUCCUGUCUGCCUGAGAACCUGUCUGUGUGGAUUUUUUCCUCUAUGUCCACCAGUGUCCCUGCCACCAAUAGCAUUUGUCACCUCUGCCUGGACAGCCCCUCAUGACUCUUUGCACCUCAUAGACUUCAGGUUAUUGAUGGCUGCACCUCAUCUCCCUGUGAACUGGAACUGUCUGAAGGAAAGAAUGGGUCAUGCUUGCCUCUGAUACUCCAGGAUUCCUUGCAGUGUGGUCACUAGGUGCUGGACAUGCCCUCCUUGGAUAAGUCAUACCUGGCUCAGCCACAACCAUCAGAGUUUAUCAUCAGUCACCUGCCUCAAAGCAAUGGAAACAUAGCGCUUUGGGAUAAUCGUGACCAGCAGGAUCUCAUCAAUCAGAACAUAUUGGAGAUUGUAACCAGUGCAUAGAGGGUGUGGAUUACACCAGUGCUCCCAACAAUUUCUCUUCUUGCUACCCAUGUGGAUUUUGUAAAUCAGUGCAUAUAAAUGUUAUCGGUACAAUGCUGGUCACAAUAGCUCAUGCCUGUAAUCCCAGCACUUUGGAAGUCCGAGGCAGGGGAAUCACUGGAGCUCAGGAGUUCCAGAUCAGCCUGGGCAACAUGUCAACACCCGUUUCUACAAAACACACAAAAAUUAGCAGGGCAUGGUGGCUUAUGGACCUGUGGUCCCAACUACUUAAAGAGCUGAGGCAGGAGGAUCGUUUGAGCCCUGGAGGCUGAGGUUGCAAUGAGCCCAGAUUGCACCAUUAUAAUCCAGCCUGAGCAACAGAACAAGCACCCAUCUCAGACUCAAAACAAAACGAAAAUAAAGUGUAAAACAAAAAGUUAUGGGUAUCCUAUACUGUAGUCUGUUAAUUUGCAAUAGUAUUGUGUCUUUUAAAAACAAUAUAUGGUGAUGGAUCACGCGCCUG